rnacentral:lncRNA from 1 species
UGGUUUUGAGAGUCAUAUGCUUACAAUGGCAGAGCCACAAACAGCCUGGGAGCCAACCCGGACUCCCAACCUGGAAAAAUAAGCCAGAGGAAAAAGUUUUCGCGGUAGCAAGCUAUGACAUUCUGAGCCCAAUGUCAAAUAACUGCCGCAGAAGCAGUUAGCUUAGGGGAGGGCUUGGAACUUCAGCAGACUAAGAAUCAGGGUUGGGAGUGGGGGAGGGGGUGACUGUUGGACAUCUGAUGUGGAAGCCAUGUGUGAAGUUUUAUAAGCUCUUGGAGAGCGACAACGAUUCUGAUGAGGGUGCUAAGCUUAGUUCAUCCGCCUCAUUGACUGGACCUUCCAUGGAGCUGAGGGGCCCACAGGGUUGUGGAUGAGUUAUUGGCUGAGGAAAGGUGCAGGUCCUCCCUCUUGGAGCUCUUGGAAGGACUGGAGACACGAGUUGGUCCCCCCUCACCACCUCUGACACCUAUGGCAGAGGGCACUCUGCAAGAAAGAAGCCAUCAGUUUGGAGAGGGGAUGAAUUAAGGUCUCAUGUAGCCCAGGAUGGCCCUAUGAAGCUGAGGAUGUCUUUAACUCCACCAGGACCUCCUAUCAUCACCUCUCAAGCACUGGGAUUACAUGUGUGCAGGGGCCAUCGCCUUUAUCUCAGCUCCUAUGACAUCUUUAUGAAACAAUGAGCUCUACAUUCCAUAAACAGAAACCAGAAGGCACAUCUCUUUUUUUCCUUAUUUAUCUUUACUUUUUUUUUUUUUUUUUUUUUGGUUUUUCAAGACAGGGUUUUUCUGUGUAGCCCUGGCUG